rnacentral:rRNA from 1 species
UACAGAGGUCUCAAGCGUUGUUCGGAUUCAUUGGGCGUAAAGGGUGCGUAGGUGGCGGGGUAAGUCAGGUGUGAAAUUUCGGAGCUCAACUCCGAAACUGCAUUUGAUACUGCCUUGCUUGAGGACUGGAGAGGAGACUGGAAUUCACGGUGUAGCAGUGAAAUGCGUAGAUAUCGUGAGGAAGACCAGUGGCGAAGGCGGGUCUCUGGGCCGAUACUGACGCUGAGGAGCGAAAGCGUGGGGAGCGAACAGG